AGCAGUAUAUAAUCUGUUCGGAAAGCUGCUAAAAAUCGAGCGUAUUUCUUUUGCCCUGGUACACUUGGAUUGGAAAUAUAUACAAAGUCUUUAUAUUACAGAGGCCUGCUACAGUAGUUCAGAAGUGUAGGGUGCCGGCACUGUAAUGGCGUAUUUGACGACGUUGUUCUUCCUAAGCUUUGUUCACGUACAGUAUGCCUACAAAAAGGAUAGCACUUGCGAAGGACGCGGCUAUAUAUGCCUCACUUUCACAGAGUGUCCAGCGAAUAAAACAUUGCCUUUCUCUGGCUGCACAGGUUGGAAGAACUGUUGCAAUUAUCCGGACUAUGCAUGGUGCAAAAAAAGGGGCGGAAGUUGCAUGGCCAAAUGCAAGGACUCAGACGUUGAACACCCAUAUGGGCGCUGUUCGCAAGAAGCCGACAAGUGCUGCAUUGACCUUAGUAAACGCACUAAUCGUUGGUGAAGUUCUUCUAUUUUGCUGGAUGGCAAAUCAGGACGCAGAGAAGAGUUGAAAACCUGCUCAUCUUUAAUGAGGACGUAUACGUGGAAGCCACACGCCCUAGAAAUGCACAAAACAAUUGGCCCUAAUGCCUAAGGAAAUAAAUAAACAAAUAACAAAUUUAAGAAAUGAUAAAUACGACGAAGGCCGAGAUUACUUAUUACCUUAAAAUCAAAUCUCUCA
rnacentral:lncRNA from 1 species